CCCUUAGAUGUUCUGGGCCGCACGCGUGCUACACUGAGUGGAUCAGCGGGUCAGGUUGCGCGAAAGUGUUUCCUAAUCUUGAAAUCCGCUCGUGAUGGGGAUUGACGGUUGCAAUUUUCCGUCAUGAACGAGGAAUACCUUGUAAGCGCGGGUCAUCAUCCCGCGCUGAAUACGUCCCUGCCCUUUGUACACACCGCCCGUCGUUCCUACCGAUUGAGUGGUCCGGUGAGGCUUUGGGAUCUGAGCAAAAAGAGCGUUUCGCUCGUUUGGCUCGGAAAACUCAGUCGAACCUUAUCAUUUAGAGGAAGGAGAAGUCGUAACA
rnacentral:rRNA from 1 species